rnacentral:rRNA from 1 species
GUACACGCUGUGACUAGCAUAUCAAUAAGCGGAGGAAAAGAAACUAACGAGGAUUCCCCUAGUAACGGCGAAUGAAGCGGGAAGAGCUCAAAUUUGAAAUCUUAAAGGGUUUCCCUUUACGAAUUGUAGUUUAAAGAAGUGUUUUCUGUUGAGGUUUUGGUAAAAGUUCUUUGGAAUAGGACAUCAUAGAGGGUGAGAAUCCUGUAUUUGACCUUUACUUUCAACUUUGUGAUACACUUUCAAAGAGUCGGAUUGUUUGGGAAUGCAGUCCAAAAUGGGUGGUAAAUUUCAUCUAAAGCUAAAUAUUGGCGAGAGACCGAUAGCGAACAAGUACCGUGAGGGAAAGAUGAAAAGAACUUUGAAAAGAGAGUUAAACAGUACGUGAAAUUGUCAAAAGGGAAGCGUUUGACACCAGUGUUGUUUUUCUGAGAAAUCAGUUAAAGAACUGUUUAUGCUAAGCUGUUUAGACUUUAUCAGCUAUCUGUUUAGUUUUGAGCUUUUCUUUAAUGCACUUUUCAGUUAACAAGUCAACAUCAAUUUCUUUUGCUGUAAAAAAGCUUGAGGAAGGUGGCUUGAGAUUCGUCUUAAGUGUUUAUAGCCUCUUGCCUAUGCAGUCGGAGAGAUUGAGGUCUGCAGCGUAGAUCCUUCGGGGCUAAAUGCAUUUGUGCUAAGUUAUAGCAUUUUAUAGACAACUUGUUGACUAUGAUUUGUCUUGUAGCUUACUCGCUUAUGUUAUUUUACCUACGCUUAGGAUGUUGAAGAUGUAGCACAUCAU